CUGCUUCAGCAGCAUCUAUACUAAAAUUGGAACCACACAGAGAAGAUUAGCAUGGCUUCUGCAUAAGAUGUUGUGCAAAUUCAUGAAGCAUUCCAUAUUUUU